rnacentral:rRNA from 1 species
AACGAACGCUGGCGGCAUGCCUAACACAUGCAAGUCGAACGAGACCUUCGGGUCUAGUGGUGCACGGGUGCGUAACGCGUGGGAACCUGCCUUUAGGUUCGGAAUGACUCAGAGAAAUUUGAGCUAAUACCGGAUAAUGUCUUCGGACCAAAGAUUUAUCGCCUUUAGAUGGGCCCGCGUAAGAUUAGGUAGUUGGUGGGGUAAUGGCCUACCAAGCCGACGAUCUUUAGCUGGUCUGAGAGGAUGAUCAGCCACACUGGGACUGAGACACGGCCCAGACUCCUACGGGAGGCAGCAGUGGGGAAUAUUGGACAAUGGGCGAAAGCCUGAUCCAGCAAUGCCGCGUGAGUGAUGAAGGCCUUAGGGUUGUAAAGCUCUUUUACCAGGGAUGAUAAUGACAGUACCUGGAGAAUAAGCUCCGGCUAACUCCGUGCCAGCAGCCGCCGUAAAAC